rnacentral:lncRNA from 1 species
CUACUGAGCCGGCCGCAGAAAUUGCAGCCGCUCAGCUUCUACCCCCUCCUGCCUUUCCUUCCUCUUUCCUUACUUCCUUCCCUUCCCUCGGCUUCCCGCUCUUGCCUCACUCUCAGCGGCUGCCUUCGCCCCUGUCUGCAGACAGCGCCGCUGGAUGCUCCCAGCUGGACUUCAACCCCACUCCUCUCAGUCCCUCUCCCCACUGCCUUCCAGACGCGCCUCUUCCCCGCCCCGCGCCCCUCUCUCCUCUCCCACCCCUGCCCCUCUCCGCGGCGCUCACCCUCCUCAGUCCCAGUUUCUGAAAGGACUCAGCUGAGAAAGGACAACUGGGUUCCGCUUUCCUUAACCCUACACCCUUUAGCUGGAUGCUGUCAGAGGCGAUGGAGAAACGCAAAGGCUACUAGACGCAACAAUAGAAUUACCAUAUUGUUUUUCCUGGUUUGAAAGGACCAGAUGGAAAGAAACUGGGCAAGCCAAUGAAAGUCUCUGGGGAUCAUGGGAAUUGAGUGUCUAUGAAAACCAUAUUCCAGACAAGAAUAUAGUCUAAGGUUUAUGGGACUCCCCAGUACUCUCCAUGUAGAGUCUAAUGUAGAAUCCAGGAGUGCACAGAAAAGUCACUGGAUGACACAGCAAGAGGCAACAUUUUGGAAGCAGAGGGCAACUCUCACUGGAAACCAAAUCUCCUGGCACCUUGAUCUUGGAUUUUACAGCCUCCAGAACUCUGGGAGGCAUUACAUAGUCAUGUGCGAGGUCAAAACUGAGUCACCACCACAACCAAGUUCCAGCUGGCAAGAAGAGGAAAAAUAACACAGAGGAGUUAUGACCAGUGUUGUAAGGAUCUGGCCUAGAAAUGGCAUGCAUCUCUUCCACUAAUAUCCUAUUGGUAAAAAUGUAGUCACAUGGGCACACCACCUAUCUGCAUGGAAGGCUGGGAAAUGUUGAUCGGUAGGGCAGCCAUAUGUGUAGGAAGGAGAAAACAGAAUUUGGUGGAUACCUAGUAGUCUCUGCCAUACCCUUGACCAGAAAUUUUUCUUCUAAAGAAUUUAAUUCUAAAAGUUAUAGACAUUCCCAAAGAUAUACCUGCAAGCAUCACAGCUUUGUGUAUAAUUGCAAAAGUUGAAAUCAACAUGAAUGCCCAAAAUAGUGAAUUAUUUAAACAGAUUAUUACCCAUAUUAUGAAGAAAUACUCUGCAACUCUUAAAAAUAAAUGUAAUGUGCCAGGCGCAAUGGGAUAUGCCUGCAGGCCCAGCUACACGGGAGGCCAAGGCAGGAGGAUCACUUGAAAUCAAGAGUUCAAGUCUAGCCUAGACAACAUAGUGAGACUUGGUCUCUAAAAAAGAAAAAAAAAAAUAAAACUGAUGUAAUGAAUAUAUAAUUACAACAAAAGAGGUCUAACACUAUAGUAGAAAAGUUUGGGGCACUCAUCCCAUUCAUAAUUAUUUUACAUUUAAAUUACUGUUCCUACUUAAGUGGUGAGCUUGGUAACCAUUUUCAUAUCAGGUGAUACUGCUGCAGUAAUCAUAGCUGUUUGAAUCAGGAAUAAUCCCAAUCACAUUUUCUCUUAAUCGUUUAUUAUACUGGGCAUUGGGGUUGCAAGAUAAUGCACAGUCCGAGCUCAAUACAUGUCUUCAUGUACCUGUAUGUAAAUCCCACUUUUAUUCUAAAAUUCUUUGAAUAUUUUGUUUCUUGGAACCCAAUGAUCCUAAGAAAAUUAUGUACUUUUACCUGAAAAUUAAAACCAAUAUUUAUAAAAAGUGUAUAUGCAGUAUGAUACCACUUUUAAAAAAAGAUAAAUUUAUAGAAAAAAGUUUAUAUGACUGACAACAAUGUCUCUGAGUGGUAGGAUUACAGUUAAUUUUUAUUUUCUUCAUUCUACUUAUCUUUAUUUUCUGAACUUUCUACAAUGAACAUGUUUUAUUUUUACUUUUGUUAAAAUAAAUAACAUUUAAUUUGACGGAAAAUUCUAAAAAUCAACAUUUGGUAACUUAAAUAUUCAUUGGCACAUGAUUCUGUGCCUGUUUCUGGGGGUCAUUCCCAUGAGAAGAGCAGGUAGAACUUAUGAGAAUAGAGCAGUCGAAAUAUUAUAGGUUUCAUAUUUUACGGCUUUAUUGAAAACAUUGAUAUAUUGAAUAUUCAUAAAUUUUAAUUUAACUUUCUUUUAUAAUCCUUAAUGUGAGGCUAAGGUAUAAGGAGAAAGGAGAUUGGUAAGGAAGUGUGAUACAUAUUGAAUCAGGUGUCAAGGUACCAUUUGUGCCUGGAUCUGACCAAUAGACCAAGGUAAAAAUCUCAAAGAAUGAGACUUGUAAUGAGAAUGCCACAAACUUGAAUACCUUAUGCACAAAACACAAACAUUGUUAUGCAUAAUGUACAUGAACCCUGAAACAAAGAUAAUGAUUUGGACCACCCAACUGAAGUGGCAUGUUAUGUUUUUGGCAUGAACAAAAGAAACAAGAGAGAAAAAAAUCAAAAUAAUUAAAAUAAAUUGUUAGAGAAAAGUUACUUUAAAAAUAGCUAUAACGCUUUGCAAUUUCAGUAACAGUUCUGCCUCUGAUGCAAUGUAAAACAUGUAUUAGACAUUCAGGCUCCACAAUAAAUUUUAAUGAGCACUACAAAUUUAGAAUAUAUAAAAAUAUCAGUAACCUAUGAAUUCAUCAACAUAACUCACUUUUCAGUUAAGUUAGGCUGAGUUGAAAUUCUACUAAGUUUUCCCAUAUUCUUGAUAAAGGCUAAAUUUGAAAUAAUUUAUUUAGAUGACUAAUUGGCAAUUUGAUAGUAGUUACAUUUUAUGUAACACUUGAUAUAAUAACCCAAAUUAAUUAGCUCAAUAUUAUCUUCUGUGGUUUAUUGAUCCAAAAGUACAUAUUUGUUAUGUAAACUUAUACUAUGUAAACUUGAAUUAGUUUUUUGCUUCCUUGAAUUAAUAAAGCCCAUUAAUGCAAAUCUAAGCCUUCAUAGACUUUUCCAAUCCUUAGUUAAAUAUUAAAAACUGAGUAUUGUAGUUAUUUGCUAGGUAUAAAAGGUGACUCAGAGUAGAGAGUAAGAUGUCAGCAAAUAGACAAUAAGAUGUCAGCAAAAGUGCCUCAAAUUUUAACUGCGUCAAGUUAAGGGCAUUGUAAAUACUGUAGUUUUAUGUAGCUUGCAACUUCUACUGAAAUGAGUUUAAUCAUGUCUUUCACAUAGCUGAAGUUUGUGUCAAGAUUUAAGCUGAUUUUCUCAUUCUUAUCAAAGUCUCACCUGGGGGUAGGGAGGGGUAGGCCUACCUCCCACCUCUAUACUAUCAUUUUAGGAACAGACAGGCAUAAAUCUGUUCAUAUGGUAGAACACAUGAUGUUAGAGUAUAUUUUGUUGAAUGCUAUGGAAUAUUAAUAUAAUUAAUUCUAAAAUAUCACCUAAAAUAUGUCAACUGAAGAUCUGACUGUACUAAAUAUGAAAAAUAAAGCAGCACAUACUUUC